rnacentral:lncRNA from 1 species
GUGUGACUUCGGCCAUCGCUCUGGUAGUCCCGGUAGCUGACGAACUCCUGCCAAGGGCAGCGGUAGCCCUUGGAGAUGGCGGUGUGGUUGAACUUCUCUGGCGGGACGCCCUUCAGCGGCUCCGCAUAGCCUAGGGGCGCGGGGGGAAGGGAGCGCCUCCGUUCUUCCACCCUCAGCCCCCAACCCCACCUCGCCCCACCCCCAUUCCGCGGACGCGGUUGGAGGAGGGAAGAUCGGAGUUAGGGGAGAGGACGGCGGGAAUGGGAAGCCACAGUUGCUCCAGCACAGGAGACCCCUCCCCAUCCCAGGAAACACGGAGGACUGCAGUGAGGAAGCCACGAGUUCGCAGCGCGGGGAGAGAUGCCUAAAAAGAUAACACUUUUCAAGGAUCACACUGAAAGGCAGGAGCCUAAUCUGAUGGGAACAUCACAGUCCUCAGCCUGGCUUACCGUUUGACUUUAGGCUAACCAGUGGCUCUCUGUGGUCCUCAUUUUCCCCAUGAGCACAAUGGUGGCUUACUCACCGCCCGCUGGCUGGCUGCUAACUCGAAAGUGAACUUCUGCACACGGCGCUGCCUCUUCUGGAAGAGGAGGGACCCUCUGUUGUUGCGUAGUGACAGCUCCUCCAUCAUCAGGUCUUUGCCCAUAAUGGUGGAGGUAGUGAGAAAUGGUCAGAUUCUCGAUAUUUUUUAAAGCAGUUUCUAUGGAGUGUUUGGGUGUGAAAGCCUAACUGGAGAGGGUUCAAGAGAAAAUGGACAGAAGAACAAGUUUAACCACACCAUGAGGAAGCGAUAAGCCAAAUCCAGGACGCAGGACAUUCUACAGGACAACUGGCCUGGUUUUUCAAACAAACGAGUUUCACUCUUGUUGCCCAGGCUGGAGUGCAAUGGCAUGAUCUCGGCUCACUGCAACCUCUGCCUCCCGGGUUCAAGCGAUUCUCCUGCCUCAGCCUCCCGAGUAGCUGGAAUUGCAGGCAUGCACCAUCACGCCUGGCUAAUUUUGUAUUUAUAGUAGAGAUGGGGUUUCUCCAUGUUGGUCAGGCUGGUCUCGAGCUCCCAACCUCAGGUCAUCCGCUUGCCUCAGUCUCCCAAAGUGCUGGGAUUACAGGCGUGAGCCACCUCCCCCAGCUGAGCUCAAUAUUUAAAAAAAAAAAAUGGCAGGCACAGUGGCUCACAACUAUAAUCCCAGCACUUGCAGAGGGCAAAGUGGGUGGAUUGCUUGGGCCCAGGAGUUCAAGACCAGCCUGGGCAAUAUAGCAAGACCCUGUCUCUAUUAAAAAAUAAAAAAAGAUAAAAUCUAUUUGACUGAGUAUUUCUAUUUCUAGGAAUUUAUUCUCGGGGAAAAAGUUGAAUAAAUAUGUCCAAAGAUA